rnacentral:rRNA from 1 species
AGAACGAACGCUGGCGGCAUGCCUAAUACAUGCAAGUCGAACGAACUCUUCGGAGUUAGUGGCGCACGGGUGCGUAACGCGUGGGAAUCUGCCCCUUGGUUCGGAAUAACAGUUGGAAACGACUGCUAAUACCGGAUGAUGACGAAAGUCCAAAGAUUUAUCGCCAAGGGAUGAGCCCGCGUAGGAUUAGCUAGUUGGUGAGGUAAAGGCUCACCAAGGCAACGAUCCUAGCUGGUCUGAGAGGAUGAUCAGCCACACUGGACUGAGACGACGGCCCAGACUCCUACGGGAGGCAGCAGUAGGGAUAUGGACAAGUGGGACGAAGCCUGAUCCAAGCAAGUGCCGACGUAGAGUGAGUGAA